rnacentral:misc_RNA from 1 species
UAAGACAUAAGGGCCAGUAACAGAUU